AUGGCAGAGCCCGACUGGCAUUCACACAGUGACAAGAGGGCGAAAGGUGUGAAAGAAGCCAUUGAGGAGCAUCUCCCACCGCUGAAUGGAGGGAUAAGGGUCUUCAGCGGGAAUGAAAGUAGCAGAGCACAGGGCUCCGACAUGUCAUUGGAAAUGAAUGAAGAAAACGAUCUUUGCAUGCAGACAAGGUUAGCGAACAGGACAGGCCAGGACGGGACAGUACCAGAUCCGGAUAUUCCUCCUUGGAUUAUGAGAUGAAACACCUUGAUAUGGAGAGCAAUAUUAGCGCACCAUCUGGAUGGAGAUAAGAUCACCAGAUGGAGAUGGCUUGACCGGAGUGAAGUAUACUGGGAAACAGAAACACAGAUGCAGGAGAGAUGCAGAUACUGGAGAUCACAAGAAAUGAGAAAGGUUAGUAACUUUCAAUAGAGUACUGACAGUACAGAGAGGGCAGUCCUUUGUUGCUGUAGGGAGGCCAGAAACAGUGCAGAAUGGUGAGUGUAUUUAUGGGAGCUGGAGUGAUAAGCGGAGAUGACCGGGGUGUGAUUGUGGUGACUGAGAAUGGGGGGGGGGAGAACCUGGCCUGACUGUGACAACUACUAAUUUACAGAUAUUUUUACAGUGUAUUUUGAUUAUUAAA
rnacentral:lncRNA from 1 species